AUUGAACGCUGGCGGCAGGCCUAACACAUGCAAGUCGAACGAGUGGCGGACGGGUUAGUAAUGUCUGGGAAACUUCCUGAUGGAUGGGGUUCACGUCCGGAAACGGGUGCUAAUACCGCAUACUAUCACAUGAGCCUAGGUCGGAUUAGCUAGUAGGUGGGGGAACGGCUCACCUAGGCGACGAUCCCUAGCUGGUCUGAGAGGAUGACCAGCCACACUGGAACUGAGACACGGUCCAGACUCCUACGGGAGGCAGCAGUGGGGAAUAUUGCACAAUGGGCGAAAGCCUGAUGCAGCCAUGCCGCGUGUAUGAAGAAGGCCUUCGGAUUGUAAAGUACUUUCAGCGGGGAGGCGUUACCAGCAGAAGAAGCACCGGCUAACUCCGUGCCAGCAGCCGCGGUAAUAC
rnacentral:rRNA from 1 species